AGGGAAACAACAGUUAAGAAAUGACUGCUAAUACCGCAUAUGCCUAAGCAACACAUGUUGCAAUAGGGAAAGGAGCAAUCCGCUGAUAGAUGAGCUUGCGUCUGAUUAGGUAGUUGGUGGGUAACGGCCUACCAAGCCGACGAUCGGUAGCCGGACUGAGAGGUUGAACGGCCACAGUUGGGACUGAGACACCGGCCCAGACUCCGUACGGGAGGCAGCAGGUGGGGAAUAUUGCACAAGUGGGGAAACCCUGAUGCAGCAACGCCGCGUGAGGGAAGACGGUUUUCGGAUUGUAAACCUCUGUCCUCUGUGAAGAAGAAAGUGACGGUAGCAGAGGAGGAAGCCACGGCUAACUACGUG
rnacentral:rRNA from 1 species